rnacentral:rRNA from 1 species
CUUUCUCCGCCGGCGACCGGCGCACGGGUGAGUAACACGUAUGCAACCUGCCCCUGUCAGGGGGACAACCCGCCGAAAGGCGGGCUAAACCCGCGUAUAUGCACCGGGGCAUCCCGGAGGCAGGAAAGGCUUCGGCCGGACAGGGAUGGGCAUGCGGCGCAUUAGGCAGUAGGCGGGGUAACGGCCCACCUAACCGACGAUGCGUAGGGGUUCUGAGAGGAAGGUCCCCCACACUGGUACUGAGACACGGACCAGACUCCUACGGAAGGCAGCAG